CAACCUCUUUACUGAGUGUUCCACGCUGUGGCAUAUACACCUGAACUGAAACUCUGGGGGAAUGUUCGAGCUUCUGGAAGCGUACAGGUUCUACACUUAAUUUAUCCUUAUUUUACUACAUUUUACACUUCGACAGUGUGUGUGUGAGGGGGUGCUUUUUAUUACUAUUAGUAGCUUUAUUUCUGUACAGAGGCUGUCGCUGCAGGAGUCUGGUAUAAACACUGCUGUAGAAAUGCGGAGUAUUAAACUCCGGUUCAGUUAGAAGGUUAAACUGCACAGAGUCUAGAACUGAAGGUUCUCACUUCCACAUGUGGAAAUGAAAAACACGUGACGUUAAAGUGAAAGCCAAGGAGCAUGUGAUCAAGUGUUAACUCUGUGUGUGUGUGUGAGUGAGUGAGUGAGAGAAAUGUUCUGUAUGUGAGUGUAAAGACAGCAAAAUGAAAAUACAGAAACCAAUCAAAGCUACUUCUUUACAUGCCUGAAGAGUUUGAUUAUUUUAUGCUUCAUCUUGCUGUCCUUAUGUGAGCAAAAGGGAGAGUGUGUGUGAGAGAGAGGGAGAGAGUGUGAGGCUGUGUGAGAGAAAGUGUGUGUGUGUGUGUGUGUGUGUGUGUGUGAGAGAGAGAGUGAGAGAAAGAGUGUGUGUGAGGGAGAGAGUGUGAGGCUGUGUGAGAAAGAGUGUGUGUGUGUGAGAGAAAGAGUGUGUGAGGGAGAGAGUGAGAGGCUGUGUGAGGGAGAGAGUGAGUGUGUGUGAGAGAAAGUGAGAGAAAGAGAGUGUGUGUGUGAGAGAGAGUGUGUGAGGGAGAAAGAGAGACUGUGUGUGAGGGAGAAAGAGAGACUGUGUGUGUGAGAGAGAGUGUGUGAGGGAGAAAGAGAGACUGUGUGUGUGAGAGAGAGAGCACUCAGGUCCCGUGUUCUGUGUUUGGAAUAGAAAUUAGAAAUGGAGGAUAUAAACUGGAGCGAAUGUUUUGAUCGUUUUAGAAAUAAUGGAUUAGAUCACUAAGCUCAGUUCAUCAGGAUUAUUUAUUUCAUUUUUAUUCUCUGGUAACAUUUUAUUUAUUUGUGCUGAUUAAUAUUACAGUUAUACGGACGUGGUGUAGCUCUCCUCCACACCUCAGUGUUUUCUUAUUUGUCAACGCGGGUGUAAAGUUUACUAAAAGCGGAAGUUUGACCCGUUUACUUUGUGCUCUUCUGAACCGUUUAACUCGAGUAAACAUUAUUUGAUGAUGGUAUUUGGUGCCAUGG
ensembl:lncRNA